rnacentral:rRNA from 1 species
GACGAACGCUGGCGGCGUGCUUAACACAUGCAAGUCGAACGAAGUGGCGAACGGGUGAGUAAUACGUGGGUAACCUGCCCUCCUUUUUGGGAUAAGCCUUGGAAACGGGGUCUAAUACCGAAUAAAGGGGGAUGGGCUCGCGGCUUAUCUGCUUGUUGGGGGGGGGAUGGCCUUCCAAGGCGGUGACGGGCAGCCGGGCUGAGAGGGGAAACGGCAACAGUGGGACGGAGAAACGGCCCAGAGUACUCCGCAGGGCAGCAGUGGGGGAUAUGGCACAAUGGGCGAAAGCCUGAUGCAGCGACGACGCGUGAGGGAUGAAGGCUGUCGGGUUGUAAACCUCUGUCGCUAUCGAGCGGGUAGGUGGAGAAGAAGCGCCGGCUAACUACGUGCCAGCAGCCGCGGUAAUUC